rnacentral:rRNA from 1 species
AACGAACGCUGGCGGCAUGCCUAACACAUGCAAGUCGAACGAGACCUUCGGGUCUAGUGGCGCACGGGUGCGUAACGCGUGGGAACCUGCCCUUAGGUUCGGAAUAACUCCCCGAAAGGGGUGCUAAUACCGGAUAAUGUCUUCGGACCAAAGAUUUAUCGCCUUUGGAUGGGCCCGCGUUGGAUUAGCUAGUUGGUAGGGUAAAAGCCUACCAAGGCGACGAUCCAUAGCUGGUCUGAGAGGAUGAUCAGCCACACUGGGACUGAGACACGGCCCAGACUCCUACGGGAGGCAGCAGUGGGGAAUAUUGGACAAUGGGCGAAAGCCUGAUCCAGCAAUGCCACGUGAGUGAUGAAGGCCUUAGGGUUGUAAAGCUCUUUUAACCGGGAUGAUAAUGACAGUACCGGGAGAAUAAGCUCCGGCUAACUCCGUG